UACAGAGGUCUCAAGCGUUGUUCGGAAUCACUGGGCGUAAAGGGUGCGUAGGCGGCGGGGAAAGUCAGAUGUGAAAUCCGGAGGCUCAACCUCCGAAUGGCAUCCGAUACUACCUCGCUAGAGAUUUGUAGAGGAGCUUGGAAUUCUCGGUGUAGCAGUGAAAUGCGUAGAUAUCGAGAAGAACGCUCGCAGCGAAGGCGAAGCUCUGGGCAAAUUCUGACGCUGAGGCGCGAAAGCGUGGGUAGCAAACGGG
rnacentral:rRNA from 1 species